GGAGAGGUGGCCGAGUGGUCGAAGGCGCUCCCCUGCUAAGGGAGUAGAGGUCAAAAACUUCUCGUGGGUUCGAAUCCCAUCCUCUCCGCCA
rnacentral:tRNA from 1 species